CAGAUUCCUGUCAUUCUUUUUAGACUUUCAGAUCAGACUGGCACCUGUUUUAUAGCAAGAACCGUGGGUGGCCUUACACAUGGGCCACUUCCUCAUUUUGGGUUAUUUUUACACUUUUUGGAUAUGAUUCGAAUGAGAAUGGCACCCAGUGAGCAUGAUUGUGCUUUCAGUCACCCAUUAAUUUUUUUUAAUAAGUGUGUUGAUUAGGUAAGUUCAGUUGAAAUGUAUAAUGAGAAACAAACAGCACCUUUCUUGUUUUUAUUCCCUGAGUAUUUCCUGUGUGACUGACCCCCAAGUCCGUGCUGUGCGCCGUGUAUCCUGGACGUGGCUCUCAGGAGCAUUUAGAGAUCUGGAAGAAAAAUUUAGUUUGUGUGACUCCCAAUUGGAAUUACUUACGUUUCUUUCAAGCCAGAUAUACGACCUGAGAUUAAUAAAGAGGCCAAAAUUUUAGCUAUUUCAUCUACAAGGAGAGAAGUUUUGUUUUGCUUUAUUUCUAGAUAUGUGAUAUUGGUAAUCUGAACUAAAGAGUAAACAUUGGCCAGGAGGGGCUAAAAUGAAAGUUUUUAGGGUAGAGUUUUCUCAUAGUUGCUUCAUAUGCUCAAAAUACAGAGUUGUCCUAAUACAGGAAUAGGAAAGCAGGAGAGGAAAGGGAGGCAGGAACUCCUGGGAAAUAAAAAACGAGGGCCUCGAGUAGUCGCUUUGCGCCUGGUGCCGUCUGCGGAUUCCUGCAAAAGCGCCCGUCCACCUCCCUGGCAGCUUAGAGUUCUAGGCGAUGGUCUCGGGACCCUCCUUUCAGUCACCCUGGCCUGGGGCUCCUGCCACGCGCCUUUGUGAAGGAUGAGAGGCUGCUUACACCGUGACCUCCCUCGCCCUGUGCUCCUCUUUGCUCAAAGCAGUUGGAGGCGGGAAUGCAACAAGCAGACAGAAAAGGAAGAGAACUCUAUUUCAGUUACUUUUAUCAGAAAGGAUGCCUGCUAAUAGAUGCUGAUUUCUAAUGGUCAUUUCUUCAUGUCAUCGGCUAUGCUAGGCAAAAUGAUAAGAGAUUAUGAAGAAAAUGACAUAACUGGUGACAGAAAUGAAAAGGAGCCACGCUCCAGAUGCCGCCCAUUGCCUUUGCAAAGUGACGCUGUGGAGCCCGUCCUGACCGCACCCGCCUUUAGGUUUGAAGCUAGUGCUUUCUAAUCAGAUUUUUUAUGGGCCAGAUUGUCAUAAAGUGUUUUCCAGUGGGAUACAUAUUCUAUACAUACCCCAUUACUCAUCUUCAACCAUUACUGACUUAUGGCCAAUCUUACGUCUACGCCUGCCUGCUCCCACUCCUGUUUGAAGCAGAACCUAGGCAUCAUGUCUUUCAUUCAUAAAUAUUUCAGGGCUUUUAGAUAAAAUUCCACUUCCAUUCACACCUAAAAAAUGGGUAAUUCCUUGAUAAAUUGUCUAUAGAUGUCAAAUUUUUUUACAUUUUUUAAGAACCAGGAUCCAAACAGUAACAAUAUUGUGAUUGAUCGACAGGCCUUGUUAAUCUCUAAUCUCUUGUUUUGGUUACAAACCAGAGUGCCUCAGAAUCACCUAGAAGGCUUAUUAAAACGCUGCCGGCUGGCUCAGGUGGAGUCUGAGGGUGCUCACCAUCCUGACUAUCUGCACUCUGAUAUUAUACUUCUUUUUUCAAAAAAAAGUUCACAACCCACUAAUUUUACUGUCCCCUAAUGGGUAGUGCCAGGUAGGUUGGAGGGGGAUGGGGGCUAUCUAGACAGAUACUCUUUGGAACUUGAAUUAGAAAAUCUAGCUGAAGUCAAAUUUGGGUCAAUAGAAAAUACUGCUCAAAUUAGAUGGGAUGUUAGAAAAUAAGAAUUAGAAAAAUGAGAAAAUAAGCUCAAAUUUAGCUUAGAUCUAAAAUUUUGAUUGCAGUAUGUUAAUCGAUGGGUAAUUCAGUUUUAAAACUGGAGGGCCACCAGUUGGCUAGGAAGGCAUUAGCCAGGAGCGUGACUUCUUGGAUGUGCUGGAAUGAUACUUUCUGGAAGACCAGAAAGCACCAAGAACCUGACAUUAGUACCAGAAUGAAAUUGCAAACAUUCAUUCACCCUCCCACCAACCCCAUUCAGAGCACUGCUUUGUGCAAGACCCUGUGCCCGGGGCAUGUGGACCCAAAGGUGAGGUGAGUAGGAUUCUACGCUCAAAAAUCUGACAGCUAGUCUGCUCGGAGCAUCCGUUUCCUCAUCUAACAAAGGAGGGUGAUAGUUCCUGCAGUGAUCUGCAUAGUCAUAAAAUCGUUAUAAAUGAGAAUACUGUAUAUACAGAUACUUGGUAAGGAGACAUUCCAAAAAACAGUUGAACAGUAAAGUGUUCUAAGCAAUCACUUGACAAACUGUUUCUUUUUUCCCUUUUACUCAUCAGUUACAGUCACUCGGUUGUAACUAGAUUAUUUUUCUUAAGUUCAUUUGUCUGAAAGCUUUAGCUGUAUCUAGUAAAUCUUGCUGAUAAGUGCUAGACUUACACAUGCACAGAUCUAAUUUCCUUCCAGUCCUGGUUGUGCCCAAAGUCCACUGGGUAAUUUAAUUAGAAAUCUCUUCCAAUAAAAAAUAAAUAGUAAACCUAUUUCCUGCUUAUCUCAGUAGAUAGGAUUUAUUGAUGCACAAUAAAGAUCAGAACACCCAGAAGAUACCAAAAUAAUAUGAAAUACUAUUAUGUCUGCUCAAAAAAUUAUCUAACUUCAGACAUGAAGGUCAUAAUCUCUGUAACUUUGAUAGGACUCAAACCUUAGAGAUUCUAACAUCAGUAUCACCUCCCCAUCCUGAUUCUUAGACAUCAGAGCAACUCAGCACCAGGUGGGGGGCAGGGAUUAACAAUACGUAUCGUCCAGGAGAGGGGCAAGCAGCAGGAAUGGUUACGGUGCGCACUGCAGUAGAGGCGAUCACAGAGACCAUUUGUUCCUUAGGGGAGAAACCCUUGCUUUGAAGGAGCCGAGAGAAUCGAUGGCUCAGCAUCUGAGUGAAUCGAAGUAUGGUAAGUAGAGAUGGACACAGCAUGUUUACGGAACAUAGAGGAAGACACCCAACAGAUCCAAAAAGGGUUUCUGCAAGAGGUGGCAGCCAAAUUCUGAAGGUCUAACUGGGGUUGGCUGAGAAACAGUUGAAAGAAAAGCACUGGAGACAGAAUAAUGUUCAAAAAAGUAAGGAGGCAAGAAACAGGUCGUUUAGAAUGACUGGAGCAUUUGGGGACACACGGAGAACUGGCCGGUGAUGAGGCCUCUUCAUGAUAAGCGAGGGGGUUAGUUUGAAAUCUCCAGGAAGCCGUUGAUUCCAAGCAGAGAAGUGGCAUGGUCAGAUUUACAUUUUAAGAUCACUCUGGUGGCAGGGCGAAUAUAGAUGAGAAAAGAAAAGCCUUUGGACAGGUUAGGAGGCCACCCACUUAUCAACUAAAUGCUAAGCACCUGCUGUGUACCCGGGGGUACUGCGGUCUCCAAAAAAUAACGUGAUUAUACUUUCAUGGAGUUCCAAGUUCCGGUCUGGUGGGGAAGUAGAUGUCAAGUGGUCAGCCAAAUGGUACAAUUACAAAACUUAAGUGACCUACAUGAGCCCUGUGAGAGGCUGUAACACGGACCGAGGCAUCUCUCUGCUGGUGCAGCCCAACAUUCCUCCUUUCUGGGAACAGGUUCCCAGGGGAACCAUACCUCCCUCCCUCUCGGUGGUACGUUGGUGGUACGUCGUGUCACUCACAUAGUCCCUGCUUCCUGAGAGCUGCGUGUCCAAGCGAGGCUGGCUGGCUGGAGCACUCUCUCAUCCGGGCCCCGGUGUCUGGACUCCGGUUUGGGCCUGAGGGCUAAACAAAACCAGUCAGGAACUGCUUUGAUGCUUGGAAAGAGAGGGCCUCUCAUCCUUCGGAUUAGGAGCCAUAAGCAUAUGGCCUUGAGCCACUCACUGUCUUUCCUGGCUGCCGCCAUGCUCUGCCGCCGCCUCUCACCCAGUCACUGCAUCAGCGUCCUGACUGCGGCAUUUGGCUCUGCAGCGAUGGAGCCCCUGCCCAUGCUGGGCCUUUGCUUCAUCCCCAACUUUACCACCGGAUGCCCAGCUGCACUAACUGGAAACCUGGCAUCCUCGUGAGAGAAAGUUCAGUUACAUCAAGACUUAUAUCAUCGGUCUAUAGCAUCUUAUCUCCUCUCUGAGAAAUGACAGUUUUUAAAAGGGUGACCCUGAGAACAUCCCUGGGAACCACGUGUUGAUGGCAGCAUCCUGGGCCCUUCAGGAACUCGAAGAAGCCCCUCCUCCCUGCCUCUGGCCCGCCAGAUCUUGAACAUCCUCACCUAGAUGCUGCCGCCUUUGCCUUCUUAGAUAUUCAUUAAGGAUCUAAUCCUGGUCUCAGGGUGCCUGGAUCAGGAAACCUGUUACAUCUUGAGGGAGAAAAUUAUACUCUGUAUGAAGACCGUGUGGAUACUCAAGGCUCAAAAUGGGAUUCCAUCUGUAAACUAUUUUAAGAGAAAGUCUCUGAAAAUAUGGGCAGGGGACAGGAUUCUGACUUUUUGCUUUCUACCAUUCUGUGUGGAUGGUUUUCUGGUCCUUCCUGAAGGAGUUACAAGAGUAAUAGACAUAUUACUGGGCCCAGCAAGUGUGCAUGUGUGUGUGAAGUUGUUCUAGAAGAUGGAUUAAGAGCUGGGUACCCCCUAAAGGCACUCUGAAGGACGCAUCCAAGCAUCCAGUACCACAACUGAUAAACCUAAACCAAAGCGACAGCCUGGCAGCUGGAUGACUUGGGGCAAGGUGGAGCGAAGGGCUCCCGCUGGUUCUCAGGGGCUCCUGUUGGGAGGCCUGGAGCUGGGAGGAGACGGUCCCAUUUCCUUUCUUCAUCACCUCCAGUUCUCAGGGGAAGGAAAUGUGGAUAUGCCGGGAGCCUUAAGCAAAGUGUGAGCCAGGCGUUGCUCCUCAGCGUCUCCUCCUUUACGAUGAUCCUGCUCCUUCUUUCUGUCUUCCCACCCGUGCCUCCACCUCCCUGCUCUGGCAGGCGCUCUCCGAGGGUGUGCCCCUCUUUUGGCCUUCCUUCUGCUCCCUGUGGCCCUCCUGUCUCUCUGAAUUCUCAUCCUGAACGUUUACAGGUGGCCACCGUGCUCUAUGGCUUCUCAGCUGCAUUGGGACUAUUGCCAACACACUCUGCCUGGGAAACUGACAUGUCCUUUAUAUCCUCUCCCCAGGGCCAGGUUUCUGGGUUUCGAAAUCCCCCUUAUCUUUGAUAAACAACCACUGAAAUAAGAGUGAAUUUUGAUGGCAACCUUCCUGGGGACAACAUCUGACCCUGGGGUAGUAACAGGUUUGCUUUGAAUUUGCACAGAGCUGGACUCCAAUCCCAGCCCCUCUCUGGGGGAGCCCUGAAACGUUUCUGAAAUAAUUUACGCUUCUGCACCAAGGAUGAUAAAACUGAUCUUGCAGAAUUUCCACUGAGAUAUUUAUGAAAGUGCCACGUACUCGUUCCUAGCUCAUUCCUUUUCUUUCACAAGGUUAUUAAUGAGCUCUAAGUGAGAAAAUAAGUGUGAAGGGGCUUUGCAAUCUAUAAGCUCUCACUACAUGGUAGGUUUUGUUAAUAGUCAUAUAGUAAUACCACUGAUAGUAGAAGUACAGAUGGGAGGAGGAACAGCUAGAUAUUUUGGAGGUUUGUCAUUUUUAUAAUCUAUGAAUUAUAUCAACAGACAUCAUGACCACAUUUCUAAAACAAACAUCAGGAAUCAUGAUUUGACAAGUCAAAAUGCAUUUGUUGGGACACAAUUAUGAAUAGGAAUUGAUCCCCUGGCCCAAAUUCGAAAUAUACGGUCUCUGUACACAUAAAUGACCUCCUUGCUUCUCUCUUGAGGACUGACCUACAAAUCUCUGUAGCACUGGGAAGAAAUCAGAGUGCUGGGAAAAUGGACCAGUAGUUUAUUUCUACUCUAUACCUGAAAAUCACCAUCCCUAAUGGGCUGGUUGGUAAAGGAAAGAACACUGAGAAAAGACUGUAGCCCCUGGAAGAGAAACAAGCCUGCAGGAGCUAAUGGAAUGUCCCGAUUGCCAAUUAAUUUCCGUUCCCAAAGCCCCUGCUGCAGAGGCAUGGGAAUCCAGUCAGAGGGAACAAGCUGCCUUUGUGUAAGUCAGUCUCCUUAGCUGACGUCCGGGACCUUGGGGGCGCCAGGCCAUACUGAGGCUUCCCUAGCAACUUUUCCUGAGGCCUUUGCUUUACCCGGACCUUAGGCUUCAGCUCGUGCCACCGUUUGUCAUUAAUGGGAUUCACACAGCUCUUGUAGAAUUUAAAAAGCAGUUUCACAUCACAAUAUCGGGUCUCCUUGGUAGUUCUUCCCUGGGUCUCUACAAUCACCGUUUUAAAGUAUUACUAUACAGAUGAAGAAAUGGUGGUUUAACAGUGGAGUAACCCCCCAAAAUAACAUUCCAGGAACGCCAGUCCUCCGCCCUCUUUAGGCGGUGGGAUCAGUGUGGGCUUCUAGGACGAUGACGCGCAGACACGUGUCCGAAAACUCCAGUAAAGUGCAAAGCAAAUAUUGAUCUGGAAGGAGGACCUCCUCCCGGAUCCUGCUCCGCUGACAGAGGUUGUGCGUCCGUGCCCGCGUGGGGUUGUGCCGCGCUUCCGGCUAAGCUAGGGCCUGGCUUGCCCCGCGGCGGGGCCGAGCGCUGC